rnacentral:tRNA from 1 species
GCCCCCGUGGCGGAAUGGUAGACGCAGCGGACUGUUAAUCCGUGGCCUAGCAGCAUGCCGGUUCGAAUCCGGUCGAGGGCGCCA